CAGCAGCCACGGGAAUACAGAGGGUGCGAGCGUUAAUCGGAUUUACUGGGCGUAAAGCGUGCGUAGGCGGCUUCUUAAGUCGGAUGUGAAAUCCCUGAGCUUAACUUAGGAAUUGCAUUCGAUACUGGGAAGCUAGAGUAUGGGAGAGGAUGGUAGAAUUCCAGGUGUAGCGGUGAAAUGCGUAGAGAUCUGGAGGAAUACCGAUGGCGAAGGCAGCCAUCUGGCCUAAUACUGACGCUGAGGUACGAAAGCGUGGGGAGCAAACAGGAUUAGAUACCCCCGUAGUCCCUGUCUCUUAUAC
rnacentral:rRNA from 1 species